GUAGUCUCGCACAGAUGCAUAUCAAUAAGCGGAGGAAAAGAAACUAACAAGGAUUCCCCUAGUAACGGCGAGUGAAACGGGAAGAGCUCAAAUUUGAAAUCUUAAAGGGUUUCCCUUUACGAAUUGUAGUUUAAAGAAGUGUUUUCUGUUGAGGUUUUGGUAAAAGUUCUUUGGAAUAGGACGUCAUAGAGGGUGAGAAUCCCGUAUUUGACCUUUACUUUCAACUUUGUGAUACACUUUCAAAGAGUCGGAUUGUUUGGGAAUGCAGUCCAAAAUGGGUGGUAAAUUUCAUCUAAAGCUAAAUAUUGGCGAGAGACCGAUAGCGAACAAGUACCGUGAGGGAAAGAUGAAAAGAACUUUGAAAAGAGAGUUAAACAGUACGUGAAAUUGUCAAAAGGGAAGCGUUUGACACCAGUGUUGUUUUUCUGAAAAUCAAUUAAAGAACUGUUUAUGCUAAGUUGUUUAGACUUUAUCAGCUAUCUGCUUAGUUUUGAGCUUUUCUUUAAUGCACUUUUCAGUUAACAAGUCAACAUCAAUUUCUUUUGCUGUAAAAAAGCUUGAGGAAGGUGGCUUGAGAUUCGUCUUAAGUGUUUAUAGCCUCUUGCCUAUGCAGUCGGAGAGAUUGAGGUCUGCAGCGUAGAUCCUUCGGGGCUAAAUGCAUUUGUGCUAAGUUAUAGCAUUUUAUAGACAACUUGUUGACUAUGAUUUGUCUUGUAGCUUACUCGCUUAUGUUAUUUUACCUACGCUUAGGAUGUUGACAGCAGUAUAGACUGU
rnacentral:rRNA from 1 species